UGUACAGUGGUCAGAGAGCAUCCCUCUGAUGGCCUUGUGUGUGCACCGGAACACUCCAACCUGUGUGUGUGUACACACAUGUGCUGCUGAGAACGGAACUCAGGAGCCAAGCAAAUACCAAGCCAGCUCUCGAUCGCUGGUCCAUCGUCUCUCUUUUGAGUGAAAUCCAAGGGAAAGCAGCCUUGCAGAUGUGAGGGUGAAGAGCAUUUCAUCCUGAAGAAACAGCAACUGCGAAGACCCAGAGGCAUGAUGUGCUGGCAGGUGUGACCAGCAGCAAGGUGGCUACUAUAGAUCCGAUGCAUGCUGUGGGAGGGAGAGGAAGAAUGAAGCCGAAGCCACGGUGGAGCAGGCUUAGAGCAGGAUAACUUCAUGUUGGGCAGGCCAAGAGGAAAAGCUGGCAAUUCGUGACAAUUCAUCACACCAAGGAGAAAUGUUACAGUAUGUUUACCUUAUGGGUGAAGGAAACUGGGGGUCUGAAAAGUCACCAAGGGAACCAGACUUUCAGUCCCUGAUUAUCAACUAUAAAGUCCUACAUUUCUCUUCCUCGUUCAUCUACAAAAGACCUUAGACCGUGCACGUGGCCCGAUGGGGUGGAAAACGGCAACACAGCUUCUUCCUCUACCCAUUCGAAAAGUGGCUCCUGAUCAGCAUCUCUAGGCGUCCCUGAUAUUGUGUAGGAUCAAAGUUUGUCAGAGUCACUGCUCACUCACUGCCCUUCAUGGUCCCACCACCACCUCAAGGCCCUCUGAAGACCGGCGGCCACUGAUGCUUCUAACAGUCUGCAGAAGCUACAUUCCCCAAAGCCAUGCUUCAUGAUGCCUUUGAAAAUUUCCUAUGCUCACCUGAGCUGUCUAACCCUCCAUAUCCUGGUAAAGGCGUGCUACUGCCAUUGAUCACAUUUUAUUAGUGACGGUUGACUCAUUGACUACACUUAAUUUUAGACAAAUAAUUAAAGGUUGCCUCUUCCUUCUACAUCUCCAGUGAAAACACUAGAAGUCUUGAUUUCUAUUUUUGUCUUUACAAUCCAGACAGUUAAGUUAAAGGGGAUACAAUACAAUUUGCAUUUGAAAUUCAGGAACCUCUCUCUGUUGCUGACACCAGACUUUCAUCCUUUGGAAUUACCAGUCUUUAGAGAAUUUGUAAAAACAGGUGUGGAAUGAGGGUGUCAUGUGUUGACAUGCUGGAGAGAAACAGUGUUUUCAAGCUACAUCAACUAAAGAAAUCAUUCUGCCUACCAUCAUUUAUUAACAAGGAUCUGAAGGUUUAAGGGCAUUAGUGUGGUCAACUCCAGAUUUAUUUGUGGUCAAUUCCAGAUUUAAUUUCAGGUCUUCUGAUAUCCAGACCAGCGACCUACAUCACACCUCUGUACCUUCUCUUCCAAACUAUUUCUUUGUCUCUUCGUUCCUCUCUCCAAACAAUUUUCAUUUCAUCUUCCUGAAUGAUUAGCAAAGCCACUGUCUGUUAGAUGAGGACAGAGGGUCAGAAAGCCUGAAUGACUGGUCCCUAAGGCUGCAGUGACAAUCACCGAGGAAGGAAGAAUGAUGUUCAAAAACAGAAGGCUGCUGACUUAGAAGUCAAGGAUUCUACAUUUCUGGAUUCUCUAUAGUUGUGUUGUUGGCAAAUAAGACUUUCAGUGUUUGUGGGUUCUGAGAUAUAUAGCAGAUGAUUUACCUUAGGGCUUAAUAUUAGCUUUUUCAAAUAAAAUUAAUUUGGUUGCAAUUUUGAGGGACAGGGAAGGGACAUUUAUCUAAAAACAUUAUCUUUCAGACAAGAAUGUUUUAAUGACCAAUACCUACAAAACUCACCAAUCUUACCCCUAAGUAGCAGGGCGACCUGGUUCUUUUCUGUGUAAGAACGCACAACAUUGUUUCCCGAUGUUUCAGAUGUCACUCUAGACGCGUCACAACUGUUCCAGCCUAUUCUGUGCCUGCUUGAUUUGGUAACAAGCUCACAGGAACCAUGGCUGCAUUCAUUGGCCCCCUUCUAUGGCCAACACG